AACGAACGCUGGCGGCAGGCCUAACACAUGCAAGUCGAACGCACCGCAAGGUGAGUGGCGCACGGGUGAGUAACACGUGGGAAUGUACCCUUUGGUUCGGAAUAACGUUUGGAAACGAACGCUAAUACCGGAUGAGCCCUGCGGGGGAAAGAUUUAUCGCCAAAGGAGCAGCCCGCGUCUGAUUAGCUAGUUGGUGGGGUAAAGGCCUACCAAGGCGACGAUCAGUAGCUGGUCUGAGAGGAUGAUCAGCCACACUGGGACUGAGACACGGCCCAGACUCCUACGGGAGGCAGCAGUGGGGAAUAUUGGACAAUGGGCGCAAGCCUGAUCCAGCCAUGCCGCGUGAGUGAUGAAGGCCUUCGGGUUGUAAAGCUCUUUCGCACGCGACGAUGAUGACGGUAGCGUGAGAAGAAGCCCCGGCUAACUUCGUGCCAGCAGCCGCGGUAA
rnacentral:rRNA from 1 species